GUGCCAGCAGCCGCGGUAAUACAGAGGGUGCUAGCGUUAAUCGGAUUUACUGGGCGUAAAGCGUGCGUAGGCGGUUUGAUAAGUCGAUUGUGAAAGCCCCGGGCUCAACCUGGGAAUUGCGGUCGAUACUGUCAGACUAGAAAACGGUAGAGGGAGGCGGAACUCCAGGUGUAGCGGUGAAAUGCGUAGAUAUCUGGAAGAACACCGAUGGCGAAGGCAACCUCCUGGGCCUGUUUUGACGCUGAGGCACGAAAGCGUGGGUAGCAAACAGGAUUAGAUACCCGAGUAGUC
rnacentral:rRNA from 1 species